rnacentral:rRNA from 1 species
GGAUCAUCAGGUAGGUCGUGCCACUGGUAUGUACUUGCCUUGAUGGUUCCUCCCUCUUGAAGAACCGUAAUGUCAUUAAUUUGGUGUUGCGGGGAAUCAGGACUGUUACUUUGAAAAAAUUAGAGUGUUUAAAGCAGGCAAACGCUUGAAUACAUUAGCAUGGAAUAAUGAAAUAGGACG